rnacentral:rRNA from 2 species
UACGGGGGGAGCAAGCGUUGUUCGGAUUUACUGGGCGUAAAGGGCGCGUAGGCGGCCACGACAAGUCAGUUGUGAAAUCUCUGGGCUUAACUCAGAGCGGUCAACUGAUACUGUCGGGCUAGAGUGCAGAAGGGGCAACUGGAAUUCUCGGUGUAGCGGUGAAAUGCGUAGAUAUCGAGAGGAACACCUGCGGCGAAGGCGGGUUGCUGGGCUGACACUGACGCUGAGGCGCGAAAGCUAGGGGAGCGAACGGG